ACUCUCGCAGUUGUUUCCUGUAGCAUCAAAAUAGUGGACGAUUUGGGAUGCCGUCACUUGGGUUUGGCCCAAAAAGUGUCAAUAAGCACGUCGUUCUCUAGAGCUGUCGUCUGCCUCAUUCAAACGCCACAUAGAAACAGAGGCUGUUUUCACUGGAAUACAAUCAUCCGGAAUGACAGUUUUAUUUCACAGCAUCAUCUCCGCUACUACAUUAUAACUAAGUGACGAAGGUCGGUAAAAGACAAGAGCUUGGACUAGGCCGACCCUAAUUCAGGCAUAUUUCAAGUCCUCAGUGCCUCCGUACCACCAUGACAACCAUGUACCCGUUGGGUCAGGAGAAUCACAUGAUCUCGAAGACGCCCGUGCAAGACGAUGAGGCCGAGGAGGUCAAGGUCGCAACCUUGACACCAUAUGCACACAGAAAACUAGCAAUACUCGCACUUAUAAUUAACCUUCAUUUUGGUAUACCAGCCAUUGUGUUUUCACUCCUCUGUCAGAUCGACUACGAGAACGGUGACAUUAAGGCGGCUAGGAGGAAAGGUGGCCUGGCUUACAAGCUCUCCAUAGCCGCCAUUUGUAUGACGCUUUUCUUCGUCCUUCACUUCAUUCUGCUACACAUCUUCGUGUUCCCGUAUACUAUAUACCCCAAGAUCUUUAACAGCUGAUUUCCUUAGGACCAAUAAAAACACUGCCCACCACGUCUCCUACAA